GUCGAGCGAACAGACGAGGGGCUUGCUCCUUCGACGUUAGCGGCGGACGGGUGAGUAACACGUAGGUAACCUACCUAUAAGACUGGGAUAACUUCGGGAAACCGGAGCUAAUACCGGAUAAUAUUUCGAACCGCAUGGUUCGAUAGUGAAAGAUGGCUUUGCUAUCACUUAUAGAUGGACCUGCGCCGUAUUAGCUAGUUGGUAAGGUAACGGCUUACCAAGGCAACGAUACGUAGCUGACCUGAGAGGGUGAUCGGCCACACUGGAACUGAGACACGGUCCAGACUCCUACGGGAGGCAGCAGUAGGGAAUCUUCCGCAAUGGGCGAAAGCCUGACGGAGCAACGCCGCGUGAGUGAUGAAGGUCUUCGGGUCGUAAAACUCUGUUAUUAGGGAAGAACAAACGUGUAAGUAACUGUGCACGUCUUGACGGUACCUAACCAGAGAGCCACGGCUAACUACGUGCCAGCAGCCGCGGUAAUACGUAGGUGGCAAGCGUUAUCCGGAAUUAUUGGGCGUAAAGCGCGCGUAGGCGGUUUUCUAAGUCUGAUGUGAAAGCCCACGGCUCAACCGUGGAGGGUCAUUGGAAACUGGAAAACUUGAGUGCAGAAGAGGAAAGUGGAAUUCCAUGUGUAGCGGUGAAAUGCGCAGAGAUAUGGAGGAACACCAGUGGCGAAGGCGACUUUCUGGUCUGUAACUGACGCUGAUGUGCGAAAGCGUGGGGAUCAAACAGGAUUA
rnacentral:rRNA from 1 species